UACGGAGGGUGCAAGCGUUAUCCGGAUUUACUGGGUUUAAAGGGUGCGUAGGUGGGUAGGUAAGUCAGUGGUGAAAUCUUCAAGCUUAACUUGGAAACUGCCAUUGAUACUAUUUAUCUUGAAUACUUUGGAGGUAAGCGGAAUAUGUCAUGUAGCGGUGAAAAUGCUUAGAUAUGACAUAGAACACCAAUUGCGAAGGCAGCUUAACUACACAGUUAUUGACA
rnacentral:rRNA from 1 species